AUUGAACGCUGGCGGCGUGCCUAACACAUGCAAGUCGAGCGGUAACAGGUGUAGCAAUACAUGCUGACGAGCGGCGAACGGGUGAGUAAUGCUUCGGAAUCUGCCCAUGUAGUGGGGAUAACCAGCCGAAAGGUUGGCUAAUACCGCAUACGACCUACGGGUGAAAGACAGGGGAUCGCAAGACCUUGCGCUAUUGGAUGAGCCGAAGUCGGAUUAGUC
rnacentral:rRNA from 1 species